GCCUAGUUAGCUUAGUUGGUAGUGCGUCUGCCUUGUAAGCGCUAGGCCGCGGGUUCGAUUCCCGCUCGGCG
rnacentral:tRNA from 1 species